rnacentral:rRNA from 1 species
GAUGAACGCUAGCGGCAGGCCUAAUACAUGCAAGUCGAACGGUAAGAUGAAUAGCAAUAUUUGACCUAGAGUGACGUACGGGUGCGUAACACGUAUGCAACCUACCUUGUACAGGAGGAUAGCUCGGGGCAACUCGAAUUAACCCUCCAUAAGGUAGUGAAGUGGCAGCACUUAGCGAUAAACUCUCAGGUGGUACAAGAUGGGCAUGCGUCUGAUUAGUAAGUUGGCGUGGUAACGGCCCACCAAGACGAUGAUCAGUAGGGGAACUGAGAGGUUGAUCCCCCACACUGGCACUGAGAUACGCGCCAGACUCCUACGGGAGGCAGCAGUAGGGAAUAUUGGUCAAUGGAUGCAAGUCUGAACCAGCCAUGCCGCGUGCAGGAAGAAGGCCUUCUGGGUUGUAAACUGCUUUUGCCAGGGGAUAAAAAGACCUUGCGAGGUUAAUUGAAGGUACCUGGUGAAUAAGCCACGGCUAACUACGUGCCAGCCGCCGCGGUAAAAC